rnacentral:tRNA from 1 species
GCGGAUAUGGCGGAACAGGCAUACGCGCCAGUUCGAGAGACUGGUUUUUAGGGGUUCGAAUCCCCUUAUCCGUA